CGGUGCCGCAGCUAACGCAUUAAGUACUCCGCCUGGGAAGUACGCUCGCAAGGGUGAAACUCAAAGGAAUUGACGGGGACCCGCACAAGUAGCGGAGCAUGUGGUUUAAUUCGAAGCAACGCGAAGAACCUUACCUAAGCUGGACAUCCCAAUGACAUCUCCUUAAUCGGAGAGUUCCCUUCGGGGACAUUGGUGACAGGUGGUGCAUGGUUGUCGUCAGCUCGUGUCGUGAGAUGUUGGGUUAAGUCCCGCAACGAGCGCAACCCUUGUCUUUAGUUGCCAUCAUUAAGUUGGGCACUCUAGAGAGACUGCCAGGGAUAACCUGGAGGAAGGUGGGGAUGACGUCAAAUCAUCAUGCCCCUUAUGCUUAGGGCUACACACGUGCUACAA
rnacentral:rRNA from 1 species